CGCCCAGACUCCUACGGGAGGCAGCAGUGGGGAAUAUUGCACAAUGGGGGAAACCCUGAUGCAGCGACGCCGCGUGAGCGAUGAAGUAUUUCGGUAUGUAAAGCUCUAUCAGCAGGGAAGAAAAUGACGGUACCUGACUAAGAAGCCCCGGCUAACUACGUGCCAGCAGCCGCGGUAAUACGUAGGGGGCAAGCGUUAUCCGGAUUUACUGGGUGUAAAGGGAGCGUAGACGGCUGUGCAAGCCAGAUGUGAAAGCCCGGGGCUCAACCCCGGGACUGCAUUUGGAACUGUGUGGCUGGAGUGUCGGAGAGGCAGGCGGAAUUCCUAGUGUAGCGGUGAAAUGCGUAGAUAUUAGGAGGAACACCAGUGGCGAAGGCGGCCUGCUGGACGAUGACUGACGUUGAGGCUCGAAAGCGUGGGGAGCAAACAGGAUUAGAUACCCUGGUAAA
rnacentral:rRNA from 1 species